rnacentral:lncRNA from 1 species
GGUGCUGGGUGAUCUAGCAUGUGUUGCAGACACCUGACAGCUUGUGUGAGCAGGCCCGUGGACAUUUCCAGUGUUAUUGAUCAGUGGUAGCUUCGGCUACGUUUCAGUGGUAGCUUCGGCUACAUAUCAGUGUUGCACUUAUGUGCUAAAUCUCUACGUAUCUGUGUAUAUUCCGAGUGUUCAACGGGAUUAAUAAUGAGUUAAAGUGAAUAUGAAAUGAAGUGUGUAUGCAGGUACAUUUGAAAAGAAUGAGCAUAGUGAUAAAGGUUAAGUGUGAAAAUGUAUAUGCAAGUGAAUUGGUAAGAUUGUG